rnacentral:tRNA from 1 species
AGAUAUAUAGCUCAGUGGUAGAGCACUUGCCUAGCAUGCAUGAGGCCCUGGGUUCAUCCUCAGUAGGUUAA